GACAGGGGAAAGAACGAGAGAGAAAGGGAGAGAGACGGAAGGAAAGACGGAAAAGGAGAGCAAUUAGUUAAAAGAAUAUUACAAGCAUAUAAACCGCCCCCCCAGCUAGUCUUUGCUAAAUAUUAACCCGACCCAGACUGACCCAGACUUCCAGGAAAUGGCAUGUUGGUGUGAUGUAAUCUAAACUUGAGCACUGUUUUUCUGUGAACUGUGAAAGGUGUUCCGGUGUGAUGUCUAUCACGGGAGACUAGGUUGCCCUUACAAAUUGAGUUAGACCUGUAAUGAUGUGAAGCUCAAAACAAAUCCCUGUGCUUCCUGGAAUGUGUCUCUUCUCUUUCUUCUUUCUCCUUUGACUUGUCUGCAGCCCCAGGAAGUAGUGUCUGGUCUGCUUUUACACAAAGGUUAGUGUCUGGUCUGCUUUUACACAAAGGUUAGUGUCUGGUCUGGUCUGCUUCUACACAAAGGUUAAUGUCUGGUCUGGUCUGCUUCUACACAAAUGUUAGUGUCUGGUCUGGUCUGCUUCUACACAAAGGUUAGUGUCUGGUCUGGUCUGCUUCUACACAAAGGUUAGUGUCUGGUCUGGUCUGCUUCUACAUAAAGGUUAGUGUCUGGUCUGGUCUGCUUCUACACAAAGGUUAGUGUCUGGUCUGGUCUGCUUCUACACAAAGGUUAGUGUCUGGUCUGGUCUGCUUCUACACAAAGGUUAGUGUCUGGUCUGGUCUGCUUCUACACAAAGGUUAGUGUCUGGUCUGGUCUGCUUCUACAUAAAGGUUAGUGUCUGGUCUGGUCUGCUUCUACACAAAGGUUAGUGUCUGGUCUGGUCUGCUUCUACACAAAGGUUAGUGUCUGGUCUGGUCUGCUUCUACACAAAGGUUAGUGUCUGGUCUGGUCUGCUUCUACAGAAAAAAGGUUAGUGUCUGUGAAGUACUGCCUGCUGCUACAGACCUGCUUAAGGCCAGAGUCUGCUGUAUAGAACUCUCUGCCAUACUACAUCCUGAUGAGUCUGCUGUAUAGAACUCUCUGCCAUACUACAUUCUGAUGAGUCUGCUGUAUAGAACUCUCUGCCAUACUACAACCUGAUGAGUCUGCUGUAUAGAACUCUCUGCCCAGCCAGCUAGCAGCUAUCCUCCUGGAGGGCCUCUGGCUCCUUUCAUAGAAACAUGUCCACUCACGGUUUGGCUGCAUUCACCUUUGUCCAUGCACUGAAUGUCCCAUUGGAUCUUCCCAACCUAACCUUAAUCCUAAUCCUAAC